UACGUAGGAAGCAAGCGUUGUUCGGAAUUACUGGGCGUAAAGAGCGUGUAGGCGGUUCUGUAAGUCUGUUGUGAAAUCUCCCGGCUUAACUGGGAGGGUGCGGUGGAGACUGGAGUGCUAGAGUGUGGGAGAGGUAAGCGGAAUUCCUGGUGUAGCGGUGAAAUGCGUAGAUAUCAGGAGGAACACCUGUGGUGUAGACAGCUUACUGGACCGCGACUGACGCUGAGACACGAAAGCGUGGGUAGCAAACAGG
rnacentral:rRNA from 1 species